UUUCAGGUGCAUAGGUAUGAAGGAGUGGACAAAAACAAAUUUUGUGAUCUCUGCAACAUGAUGUUUAGCUCUCCACUUAUUGCUCAGUCUCACUAUGUGGGAAAGGUCCAUGCUAAAAAACUGAAGCAAUUAAUGGAGGAACAUGAUCAGGCAUCUCCAUCAGGAUUUCAACCAGAGAUGGCAGGAGUGCCUCUUACUACUUCUGCAGAGUCAACAUUCCUGAAGCCCCUUCCUGUCAAGCCUCCUACAGGCACCUUCUCACUACUAGUGUAUUUUAUUCCCCUUUCAUAUUCUCUCUUCCACCCACUUCUUUUCCUCCACUCACUAUUAUUUUUCAGUUCUUUCUUUACCCAGCCUUUCUCCUUCAUGUGAAAAUGUUCAUUCUUCUCUCCUCCUUGAAGCUCUAUUCUUUGUCAUAUGUAACUCUUUAUGCUCUGGUUCUUCUCUAUUUCUGUUUCUUUUUUGUUUUCUCUAUGGGCUCUUUUUUUAUUCAUUACCUAAAUGUAGGUAUUCCCAUGGUUUCAUCCUUGACCUUACUCUACAAACACGAUUUCUAUUUCCCUGAUUUCAUUUCUCAUCUGUAUGCUUAUGACCUUUCUGUCAAGUAUUAGAUUCACAUAUCCAAAUGGCAGCUACUGCUUCACCUGGAUGCCUCAUAGCCAUUUCAAAUCCACCUAGUCAUUCAAAGUAGAAACCCACAGGUAACUAUGAACCCCCAAACACCACCUUCUUAACUUCAUAUAUUUAAUGAAGCACCAAGCUGUGACUCUUCUACCUCCUGAAUACUACUCUCCCCUUAUCUCCAGCCCUGCGCUUCCCACAUUAGUUCAGGUCCUCAAGAUCUUUCCUAGAGGUUUGCUACUCAGUGUGUGGGUUGUGGAUCAACACCAUUGGCAUCACCUGGGAACUUGUUAGAACAAGGACUCUCAGGCCCCACUGCAGACCUACGGAAUCAGAAUCUGCAUUUUAACAAGAUCUGUAGGUGAUUUGUACUGAAUAAGUUUUGAGAAGUGAUUGCCACAACCUCCUAACUACUCUUUCUGCCUCCAGUUUUGUUUCCCCAAACCCACCCCCAAUUUAACCACUAGAGUGUUUGACUUAAAGUGUAAGUAUUUCCAUGUCAUUCCCCUUCUUUAAAACCCUUCAUUAUUCCUUCAUCUUCUAAAUAUAAAAUCUAAGCUUCAUAGCUCUCCACCAUCUUGUUUCUGCCUGCCUUCUCCAGGCUUAUCCCCUGCUACUUCCUGGCAUGAUCUAUGUGGGUCAGUACCUGCAAACUACAUAUGGUUGCCAGAAACUAUUACCCUGUUUUUUGUGUCUGUGCCCUCGUUCAUGCUGCCACUUUGUCUGGAAUAUCCCUAUAACACUUCCCCUGGCUAACUCCCCCUCAUUCAAUUACUUCAGGGUUAAUCUUAUGUGCUUCCUUAACCUGCAUUUCUAAGUAUCUCUGCAUGUGUCUGUCUCCAAUUAGAAUGUAAGGUCUUUGAGGCAAGGGACUUCAUCUAAUUCAUCUAUAUUUCCAGUGCUAUAGAUAGAAACUCGCACAGAAAUAGGACCACUUCAAUAGAGAUUAGCUUAAUACAUGCAUCAGAUAACUAUUAAUUAUCUUUAUUUGUUGAGUGCUUAUCCUGUUUUCUACUCUUUCAGGUUUCUACUUAGUGUGAUUCAGCAUAUCCCAGAAAGUUACAUAGAGAUACGUGUUUUUAUCUAGGAUUAUGAAGAAUGUUGAUUUAGGCAAGUGUAGAAAUACAAGUGCUAGGGCUUCUGAAAGUAGGAGUAUAUGUUCAGAGAAAUGACAACUUUCACUUGUUAAGGUAUUUUUCCUGUUGCUAGGUUGAGUGUAUCUGAAAUAAGGGGCUUCUAAUUUUCUAGCAUUAGGUAAAUUUGAACUGAGUUAACUAUGAGAAGUGUGUGCACUCCUGUCACUUCUAAAUUGGGGGGCCAUUUUGGCACCCUGAAGUUUUAAUGUUAUUAGAAUGAUGAAAGAAGGAUUUUGGUGAAAUUAUCAUCUGAUGGUGGAGGAGAGGGCAUGAUCAUCAGCAUAAUUUAAUCCAGUCAUUGGAAUCACUUUACAUUAGCCUCUGAAGCUAGAGCUCAAUAGAUUUUUCAACCCUACCUUGGCUCUUUCAUUUUGAGAGCAGUAAACAUUUGAACAUUAAAAAAUACCUGGAGAAUUUUAACUAGCUAAUGACAAUUUCAAAGAACAGUAACAGCAGAUGCCCUCAUUACAAGUGAGUAAGUGGUAAUAAUUUAACAUAUGCCACCUUAACUGUUUCACUCAUCACCCAUUUUCUUCUGUCUGCCUUCCUCUCCAUCUGCUAUUGUUUAUAUAUGUUUCUCCCAUAUCUAAUCUUUCUCUUUUUCUUCAUCAUUCUCACUGCUUUCUUCAUGUCCCUCAUCCAGCUCAGAUCUUAUUAGCACAGGAAUGGCUACCAUAACGAUAUGGAACUAAAGUAUGUAUGUAUUUUUUAUUUAUUAUAUUUGUUUUGUUUAUCUUACUAAUUUUUGGCCCCAUUAUUGCACUCAGAUGCCUCACCUUCACCUAUAACUCAACAUACCUAAAACGGAAUUAAUAAUCUCUACAGUCAACUUGAAUUUCCCAAGUUUUCUGUCUUUGCUAGUAGUUCCAAUGUUUAUUAGUCACCUACACUUGAAUCUUUGAGGCUGUCUUUGACUACUUAAUUAUCUAUAUCCUAUCCAUUAGCAAAUCUUAUCAAAUCUUAGAACUAUUUCUCCUUUCUGUAGCCAUUCAUUACAUUUCUACUACCAUCACCUCACACCUUAAUGCUGUAACAACCUUCUGGAAAGCUUACUUGUACCUCAUUGUUAUUCUCUCACUCCCUAGUAGCAGGAUUUCAACCCUGGAUCAGUUCCACCCUAUACAUUUUCUACUUCUGCAUAAAGCCUACUGAGUGAUGCUGUGGAAAAUUAUAAACUAUAGAGAUUGGGUAUGUUUUCAGAGUCUUGGUACCUAACCUCUUUGGACCUUUAGUCCUACUUAAUCUGUUUCCUUUUCCUUCACUUUCCCCUUAGCGACAAUUUUAAACCUAUAUCAUUCUUCAAGACUCUCUUCCCCCGCUACACUCCUUCUCUUCACACUUCUCAGACAAGCUCCUUUGUGAUUUCAUCAAGAAAAAUUUGGCCAUCAGAUGUGGAUUACUACCAAGUAUCUUGGUUUAACUAAAUCCUCCUGUAACCCUGAGUUCUCCUUUAACUCCUACAUUCUCCCCUUCCCUUCUUAACCAAGUUAUUUUUAAAAUGUAGUACACUCUUACUGUCUCCACUUAUUAUUUACUCAACUCACUGCCGUUCUUUGGUGCUUAUUCCCUCAGCCUUCACACCACCAGUCUACCACCUCACUGUAACUACUACUCACAGUGGCAAAGUGACUUCUAAAUUUGUAAGUCCAAUGAACAUCUUUAUUUAGCUCCUUUGACAUCACUCUCUCCUGUUCAUUCUUAUAAUUUGCUGUCCUUUGCUUUGGUGGACUUUUCAUAGGCUCAUCUUUCUCUACCAUCUUUCUUUAAAGAAUGGCAUUCUCCAGGGUUUUAUCAGUAUGUUGCUAUUCCUGUGCCCACCCAUACAUUAUCUUCAGGAGAUUUCAUCCACUCUGAUUAUUUUGACUAUCCACCCCCGUGUUCUGACAUCUCCAAAAUCUCUCUGACCUAUCUUCUGCCUUUCAUACUCCUGUAUAUAACUGCCUGUUGGACACCUUUACAUGAAAGUUUUGUAGCUAUCUUAGACCCUGUGUUCAAACUUACACUAUUCACCAUUGCCUACUCUCCCACCCAUUAAAACAACACAUACAUCUGAAGUUCCAAUUUCAGUUAAUGGGAUCACCACCCAACCACUUACCAAAUUAGGUUUCUGGGAAUUAUUUUAGACUUCUCUAGAUUCUUUCCUCUCCCCAAUCCGUCACAGUCAUUCUGUCGCUAACUUUUGCCAGUUUUAAAGUUAAAUGUUACACCAAUCUCCCUGCUUCUUUCUACCCCUACUGAGACCCAUCUAGUCCAUGUCCUCAUUAUGUCUUGCUUGAUCUCCUUACUUCUAGGCUUACUCUUCUUUAAUUAAUCCUUUGUAUUGCAGCCACAGAAGAGACUCAUCUAAAACACACAAUUGACCAACCACGUCACUUAAUACAUAAACCACUUCAAGGUUUCCCAAAGCACAGAAUAAAAAAUUUAGGCUCCUUAGCAUAACAUAUAAGUCUUUCUUUGAUCUGACCCAUUUUGCCUCUUCCCAUCUCUUUCUCUUAUGUUUUACUCUACAACAAUUCCAAAUUUUAAGAAGUUCCUGUAAGCACGUCUAUGCUUUUUUCAUGAAUUUUUGUACCUAAAACACUCUUCUCAACUCUUUUCAGGUUAACUAUUCAUCAUCCCUCCAAGUUUAGCUAAGACAUUAUCUCUUCCAGUAGCCUUUUUCAGACCCCCGUAUUAUGCUGAGUGCCCCUGCUUCUUUGUGCUCGCAUACCUCUUAAACAUACCUCUCUUACUUUUACCAAGUGAGACUGAAAUUUUUUGUUCAUGUAUCUUUCUCACACUGGAUUUGUGAACAACUUGGCUGUUUCAUUCAUCUUGUAUCCCUGGCAUCUAACCUGAUGCUUGGUGCCACAUAGGUAUUCAGUAUUUGUUAAACCAAUUAUUUGGAUUCAACACAUUGUGCUGAUUUCUGUCUCUGCCAUACUUGAUAUUAUUUUCA
rnacentral:lncRNA from 10 species